GACGAACGCUGGCGGCGUGCUUAACACAUGCAAGUCGAACGGAAAGGCCCUGCUUUUGUGGGGUGCUCGAGUGGCGAACGGGUGAGUAACACGUGAGUAACCUGCCCUUGACUUUGGGAUAACUUCAGGAAACUGGGGCUAAUACCGGAUAGGAGCUCCUGCUGCAUGGUGGGGGUUGGAAAGUUUCGGCGGUUGGGGAUGGACUCGCGGCUUAUCAGCUUGUUGGUGGGGUAGUGGCUUACCAAGGCUUUGACGGGUAGCCGGCCUGAGAGGGUGACCGGCCACAUUGGGACUGAGAUACGGCCCAGACUCCUACGGGAGGCAGCAGUGGGGAAUCUUGCCCAAUGGGCGGAAGCCUGAUGCAGCAACGCCGCGUGCGGGAUGACGGCCUUCGGGUUGUAAACCGCUUUCGCCUGUGACGAAGCGUGAGUGACGGUAAUGGGUAAAGAAGCACCGGCUAACUACGUG
rnacentral:rRNA from 1 species